AACUGAGGUCUCUGGCCAGCAAUCAUGUUGAAGCCAUGAAAUGAGAAUUGUAAUUCCAUUGCACUCCCUGUUAAGAUGCACUCAGAGAGGAAAGCUAAACGGUCAUGAUCUGAACACCCUGGAUCCAUGAGUCAAAAUGACUCUUCCCUGGUGUUGUUUCUGUCAGUUAUUCCGUCACAGUGAUGAAAAACUGACUAUCAAGAAGGCAACGUCCACCUCCCUCCCUCCUCCAAACUCAUGUGCUGUAUCUCAAAGACAAUUAUUCUGAAAUUGUCAAAAACAUUUUUGGAGAAAUAUUUUUUUUAACUUUCAAACUUGGUUGUUUUCAUAUAAAAUAUGUAUGUAAAAG
rnacentral:lncRNA from 1 species